GCCUGUUUAACAAAAACAUUGUUUUUUGUAGAAAAUGAGAAAUAAUUUCUGCCCACUGCAAUUUUUGUGAAGGGCUGCAGUAUUUUGACUGUAUAAAGGUAGCAUAAUCAUUAGCUUUUUAAUUGGGAGCUGGUAUGAACGGAGAAACAAGGAAAGAGUGUAUUAUUUAAGGGAAUUGAAUUUUAUUGUUUUGUGAAAAAUCAAAAGUAGUAAUUAGAGGACAAGAAGACCCUAUUAAGUUUGAUUAAUAUUAGUGAAAAGCAUAAAGGGAAAAUAAGGAUUAGUGUGAUUUAAAGGUGUUUGGUUAAUUGGGGCGAUGGAUUUUUAACAUUAUUUAUUUUGUCAGUUUUAUUAAGCGGGCUACGGACCUAAAAGGUUUAGAUGUACGAAUAAUUACUUUAGGGAUAACAGCGUAAUCAUUCUUUAGAGUUCUAAUCGACGGAGUGGUUUGCGACCUCGAUGUUGGAUUAUGAUUAGCGUUGGUGUAGAAGUUAGCGUGUUUUGGUCUGUUCGACCAGUAAAAUCGUACGUGAUCUGAGUUCAGACC
rnacentral:rRNA from 1 species